UUUACGAAGUGAAAAGAAAUUCGACUGGCCAUGUCGUCCAGACUGCGGGACCCGUUUCUCUCGCCCUUGAGUGGCUUUCUCUUCGCUACAAUUUCACAUAUUCAUACAUCCCAAUGACUGGACCUAAUAUGAUCGUAGAUGAUUUGCCAAAUCAACGAGGAGGAAUGACUUUCUUACGUCAAGGAGAGGCUGAAUUGUAUCUCGGGGCUUUAGUCGAAUCAGUAGAGAGAUUUAAAAAUGCAGAUUUUUCAUCUCCGUGGUUGUCCGGUUCUUUUAGUAUCCUUAUACCAAUCCCUAAUGCUUCUACUAACAUUGGCGCUUUGA